GAUGAACGCUGGCGGCGUGCCUAAUACAUGCAAGUCGAGCGAACGGACGAGAAGCUUGCUUCUCUGAUGUUAGCGGCGGACGGGUGAGUAACACGUGGAUAACCUACCUAUAAGACUGGGAUAACUUCGGGAAACCGGAGCUAAUACCGGAUAAUAUUUUGAACCGCAUGGUUCAAAAGUGAAAGACGGUCUUGCUGUCACUUAUAGAUGGAUCCGCGCUGCAUUAGCUAGUUGGUAAGGUAACGGCUUACCAAGGCAACGAUGCAUAGCCGACCUGAGAGGGGGACCGCCCACAUUGGAACUGAGACCGGCCCCAGCCUCCUGCGGGAGGCGCCAGUGGGAAAUCUUCCGCAAGGGGCGAAGGCCGGACGGAGCAACGCCGGGUGAGUAAUAAAGGUCUUCGGAUCGAAAACCUUUUUUAUGAGGAAAAAACAUAUGUGUAAGUACCUGUGCACAUCUUGACGUUACAUAAUCAGAAAGCCACGGCUAACUCCGUG
rnacentral:rRNA from 1 species